CUGGGCAUGAAGACAUUUCUUGUGAAAAACCAGCUUCCAGGCCUCCUUCCUGGGAGGGACUCUGUGAGUGCCACGCCCAGGGCCCUGCAGCAGGUCGUGAGCAGAUGCCUCUAAUGAUUCAAAGCUACCAACAAUACUGUAAGAGGCCCCUUUCCUGCCAAAGACUACGUGGAGAUCCCUUCUGGGUUUUUCUUUUUCUUUUUCUUUCUCUGUGAAGUGUCCUUGAAGGGAGGGGCUCCUGGGAGGGAGAUAAAUAGUCGUAUGAGGCCCUGUCCAGACACUGACACACCAGACAAUCCAGCAACACUGCGGGUCGGAGGACCCUGCUGAACAGGUCGUAGCCAACAGCUCCAGGUGGCUGCAUCCUAGCACCAAAGCCAGGAGACAAGAGCCCUGACUACAGGGGUGCGGAAAGGGGCACUCGCAGCCCCAGGCUUCCAGCCGCCAGAAUCAAGUGCUGGGACUUCCAGCUUCCCCACAGUCAGAGCCUGACUGAAUUCUCAGUCCACAGCUGAGUUAUUUACAGCCUCAGUUUUUCUCUUCUGAAAAAAAGGGGUAUAAACCACAGGAUCCAUCUCAAAGAAGUGCUAUGAGGAAAAAAUGACACAAUGCAUUUAAAGUGCAGAGAAGACACCAGCUACGCUGUGGCAGCAGAGUAUGGCAGCGCCCUUCCAGAACGGCUCUCUAGUGCUGUUAAGUUUCCCCAGCAUCCUGACCAGUCACUACCAAAAUGUGAUUUCCUGCGAACAUUGUCACCCAAGCAGUGUGGUCAGGCAGGCAGAAGCCAGCCUGAAGUUUACAAAUGUCUCUCUUCAGCCAGGGCAGAGCAGGUGAGGCCCUGCGUCACCCGCGCAAGGCUUGUGGUUCAGCCAGGGAGACAACGUCCUACUUCUUUCAGGGUGACCAUGUUCUUCCUGGGCGCUCAUUUCCUCGUGACACCCAUAGGCGGCAGCUUUUCCCUAUGGGGGUCCCUGGCCUUUAGGGCAAGUCCUGCCCUGUCUAGAGCCUUCUCCUCCUGGAGGAGCACACACGAUGGCACCAAGCUGCUCUGACCCUGCCAGGAGCCAAAACAGCCUCUGGGAGCUCCAAGGGGCGCCCCGGGCUCAGGGUCAUCUCCCACACCUUCCCUUCCCAUCCCGAGGCCUGCAGAGCCCUCAAGGGCUCAGUGGCCCUGGCUCAGCUGGACCCCAGCACAGACAGGGAGGCCUCUGACCUGCACCCAGAGCCUGCCUCCCAGGGCUUCCUCACCCCAGUGUCCUAGGAGGGGGUGGCACAGAUGGAGAGAGGCCAGAGGCUGCCACUCAGGAGUAUGUGAGUCAAGGCUUGCUUGGGAGGUAGGGGCAGAGGUGGAGAUGCCCAGGGGGCCAGGAGAAAGGGGAGGAGAGAUUGGGAAAUGAAGCCCUUCUGGGGCUGCCAGCUCCCCUCUACAGCUUUAGGCCAUGCCAGGGGGCCCUGAAGUGAGUCAGCCCCUACAGAAAGCCCAGGCUUUCUGUAGAAAAGAGUUUCGCUUUUUUUUU
rnacentral:lncRNA from 1 species